rnacentral:tRNA from 1 species
UGGUUCAGCGGUAGAACUCUUGCCUUCCAUGCAGGAAACCUGGGUUCGAUUCCCAG